rnacentral:rRNA from 1 species
GAUGAACGCUGGCGGCGUGCCUAAUACAUGCAAGUCGAGCGAACGGACGAGAAGCUUGCUUCUCUGAUGUUAGCGGAGGACGGGAGAGUAACACGUGGAUAACCUACCUAUAAGACUGGGAUAACUUCGGGAAACCGUAGCUAAUACCGGAUAAUAUUUUGAACCGCAUGGUUCAAAAGUGAAAGACGGUCUUGCUGUCACUUAUAGAUGGAUCCGGGCUGCAUUAGCUAGUUGGUAAGGUAACGGCUUACCAAGGCAACGAUGCAUAGCCGACCUGAGAGGGUGAUCGCCCACACGGGAACUGGGACACGGUCCAGACUCCUAAGGGAGGCAGCAGUAGGGAAUGUGCCGCAGUGGGCGAAAGCCUGACAGAGCAACGCCGCGUGAGUGAUGAAGGUCUUCGGAGCGUAAAACUCUGUUAUUAGGGAAGAACAUAUGUGUAAGUAACUGUGCACAUCUUGACGGUACCUAAUCAGAAAGCCACGGCUAACUACGUG